rnacentral:rRNA from 1 species
CCACCUGAUUCCAUCCCGAACUCAGAAGUGAAAAGCUGUAACGUCGAUGGUAGUGUGGGGAUUCCCCAUGUGAGAGUAGAGCAUCGUCGGGG